UAGCAUAUCAAUAAGCGGAGGAAAAGAAACCAACAGGGAUUGCCCUAGUAACGGCGAGUGAAGCGGCAACAGCUCAAAUUUGAAAUCUGGCUCUCGGGCCCGAGUUGUAAUUUGUAGAGGAUGCUUUUGGUGCGGUGCCUUCCGAGUGCCCUGGAACGGGACGCCAUAGAGGGUGAGAGCCCCGUCUGGUUGGAUGCCAAUCCUCUGUAAAGCUCCUUCGACGAGUCGAGUAGUUUGGGAAUGCUGCUCUAAAUGGGAGGUAUAUGUCUUCUAAAGCUAAAUACCGGCCAGAGACCGAUAGCGCACAAGUAGAGUGAUCGAAAGAUGAAAAGCACUUUGAAAAGAGAGUUAAAAAGUACGUGAAAUUGUUGAAAGGGAAGCGUUUAUGACCAGACUUGGGCUUGGUUAAUCAUCCAGGGUUCUCCCUGGUGCACUUUUCCAGUCCAGGCCAGCAUCAGUUUGCUUCGGGGGAUAAAGGCUUCGGGAAUGUGGCUCUCUCCGGGGAGUGUUAUAGCCCGUUGCGUAAUACCCUGGGGCGGACUGAGGUACGCGCUUCUGCAAGGAUGCUGGCGUAAUGGUCAUCAACGACCCGUCUUGAAACACGGACCAAGGAGUCGUCUUCGUAUGCGAGUGUUCGGGUGUCAAACCCCUACGCGUAAUGAAAGUGAACGCAGGUGAGAGCUUCGGCGCAUCAUCGACCGAUCCUGAUGUUCUCGGAUGGAUUUGAGUAAGAGCAUACGGGGCCGGACCCGAAAGAAGGUGAACUAUGCUUGUAUAGGGUGAAGCCAGAGGAAACUCUGGUGGAGGCUCGCAGCGGUUCUGACGUGCAAAUCGAUCGUCAAAUAUGAGCAUGGGGGCGAAAGACUAAUCGAACCUUCUAGUAGCUGGUUUCCGCCGAA
rnacentral:rRNA from 1 species